ensembl:ncRNA F53A9.13 ncRNA
GAAUUUUGGAAGGAAAUGGCGUGAGGAGGAGAAGGUCCAUAAAGACACCCAUCCAUGCAUAUCCCAGAAAGGAAUGCGGGAAAAACACUUUCUCGCCCAUUUCGGCACAAAAAACGUUUCGGACAUUCAUUGUUGCUUUUUCAGUUUUCGAGUGGACCGAAGGCCACCACAGGGGUUUUCAAGAUCACUAAGAAUUG